AUUUUCCUGGUCCUCCUGGCGAGUCAAUAAUCCAAUGCUUUUUAUUCAUUCUGUCAAUCUGAUCCGACGACAAUAAAGGAGUGAAUUGAUUAACUGGUAAAAAGCCAACUCAGUUUUACACUCCCUCCUUUUGGUGGCGCCAACGCGUCCGGCCUCUCCAGAUUAAUCGGAUCCAGAGUCCUAAAUCCCGCCAUUCAUCACAAGCAGGCGCGAUGCCGUCAUUGUUUCUGACAUUGUUCCUUUCUAUCUUUAGGCCUCCAGCGAUUGAAGCUGCUCGCUCACGGCUUGACCUCACAGAUUUGGUUCAGCCGCACGCCGCCUUUUUUCUUUUUUUUCUUGCGUGAGCUACAAUCCGCUAGUGACUUGCUUCCUGCCACCCUCCCAUCCUGUAACACUGGCUCCAGGAAGACAAACUAUUCAUCCAGUACCUCAAAGGUUUCCUAUCACAUCAGAUAAACACAUGCUCUGAACUGCCACUUUAUUGGGAACACCGAUCUCUGGACCCUUCAGAGCAGCUGUUACGUCCUUAACUGCAUCACGUAUACUGCCGUGUUCAGCACUGCAUGUACGAGACGUACGAGACAAAGACGGUGCACCAAACAUCCUACUCGUGGAUUUUCACUGGAGGCCGCUGAAACACUGACGUUGUUGUGUGUUGGCUGCAUCUUUCAUCGGUAAUCAGCUUAGCUCGCUGACAGGUUACCUUUGGUGAGUGUAUAUAUAGAAGACGAGAUCCUCUUAGAGGAAGCUGGGAUUUGGGGAUUGGCGGCCCGUCAGCUACGGUGCUGCUUCCACGUCAGCUUCCUUCAUGCAGAGAAACACGCGUUUAUACCAGCAGCUCAGCUUAUGCCACCAAGAGACAAGACAAGCAGAGCCCGCUCUGUUUCCCUGCAAUCAUUUUUUCACCUCCCCGGCGCCCACGCUCUCUCUCUGCAGCCUCUCUGAAUAGCUUGUUGUGAGCUGCUCCAGAUAAGAGCUUCUGUUUAAUGAAAAAAAAUGUGCAACCGACAAUUCCUGCCUUUGUCUUUGUCCUUGUCACUGGUAUCAACAGUCAAGCUGAAACAUUGUCCAAAUUCUCUGAAGUGACAUCAUCCACCUGUGACAAAUAAUCUCCCUACAUGUCGUCUGAAAUACACCCGAUGCUGCUUUAUGCAGAAAAAUAUCUACUAAAUAUUUGAGCUUUUUUUAAUCAAUAAGCUGACUUGAAGGACAUGUGUGUUUCCGCAUGCAUUGCUCUGUUAUGACCUGACAGUUACUUUAUCACUAAGAAUAAUUUUGCUGGAGAUGGGCAACCUGUGUCAGUCUGACACUCACAUUUCCUUUUAUCAUUUGAAGGGACAAGAGUUGUUGUGUUCAGGAGGUUAAAAGUUAC
ensembl:lncRNA